GGAGUUUAMCAUGUGCGCGAGUCAAUGGGAUGUGACUAAACCCAGAGGCGCAGUGAAAGCGUGGGGCGCCUCCGGCAGGAAUCYUGGCGCGGCGCGCCGCUAAAGGAGGACGGCCGGUCUCUCCUGAACGGGUUGGCCGGUCAGCACUCCCSGGGCGCCUCGGAUCCGGCCGCAGGAGCACCCGGAGCGCACACGUUGGRACCYGAAAGAUGGUGAACUAUGCCCGGCCAGGAGGAAGUCARGGGAAACCCUGAUGGAGGUCCGCAGCGAUUCUGACGUGCUAAUCGAUCGUCAGAGCUAGGUAUAUGGGCGAAAAACUAAUCGAACSAUCUAGUAGCUGGUUCCCUCGGAAGUUUCCCUCAGGACAGCUGGCGCCAAGUUGGAGCGGUCCAGUCUCAUCCGGUAAAGCGAAUGAUUAGAGGCUUUGGGGCYGAAACGACCUCAACCUAUUCUCAAACUUUAAAUGGGUGAGAUCUCCGGCUUGCUUGAGCGAAGCCGCUAGAAGAAGAGUGUGGCUUGUGCCCCUCUCUGAAGGAUGAUGGUGCCAAGUGGCCAAUUUUUG
rnacentral:rRNA from 1 species